rnacentral:lncRNA from 1 species
GAAAUCAUUUUAAUUUAAAAUGAAUGCUCAAUUGCUUCCACGUACAUGUAGUUACAUGUCGUGUUCAACUCAAUCACCUUAAUGUCACAUAAGUUUGGUGAACGAUCAGAGGGGUUUAAAAUAUUAAAUUUAUUGAGUUGAGAAGUUAAAAUGACAAAAAGCUAAGAAGAGAUGUUCACUUUAUAAAUUCAAACAAGUACAAGGGUCCAGUAGACUAUUUCACCAAUAGAAAACUUACAACUUUCAAUAAUUUAGAUACAAAACUAAAAAAACUGAAAUAAUUACCACAAUAAUUUCAUGCUAAUAUAGAUGUCUCCAACUGUAAGAUCCCAUAAGAUCCUAGUCCAUUUCAGUCUUAUAUUACAUGCCAAGAGGGUCCAAUUCUUAGAAAAUUUAGCUAAGUGUUAGAGACUUAGUCUUAUUUUGG